AACGAACGCUGGCGGCAGGCCUAACACAUGCAAGUCGAACGCUCGUAGCAAUACGGGAGUGGCAGACGGGUGCGUAACGCGUGGGAACAUACCCUUUGGUUCGGAAUAACUCAGGGAAACUUGAGCUAAUACCGGAUACGCCCGAGAGGGGAAAGAUUUAUUGCCGAAGGAUUGGCCCGCGUCUGAUUAGCUAGUUGGUAGGGUAACGGCCUACCAAGGCGACGAUCAGUAGCUGGUCUGAGAGGAUGAUCAGCCACACUGGGACUGAGACACGGCCCAGACUCCUACGGGAGGCAGCAGUGGGGAAUAUUGGACAAUGGGCGCAAGCCUGAUCCAGCCAUGCCGCGUGAGUGAUGACGGCCUUAGGGUUGUAAAGCUCUUUUACCUGGGAAGAUAAUGACGGUACCAGGAGAAUAAGCCCGGCUAACUUCGUGCCAGCAGCCGCGGUAAU
rnacentral:rRNA from 1 species